rnacentral:rRNA from 1 species
AAACCGUUGAAAGGGAAGCGAAUGGAGUUAGCAAUUCGCCUCGUCGGACUCAGCCUUUGGUCGSGGACGACGACGGGUUCUUCGAUCUUCUUGGACGAAAGCCUGUCGCGCGAACGCGGCCGUCGGCGCAUUUCCGACGGGCGAGCGUCAACGUCGGUUGGCUCGCGCGAGUUACAAGGACGCGGGGAAGGUAGAACCCUUUCGGGGGUUUGUUAAGCCUCGCGAUCGCACGGCUCGCGGCCGACCGAGGACUGCCGCAACGCGUGCCUCCCUUCGGGGUGGGCUGGUGCCCCGUUCCGUCGGUCCGGUCGUCGACCGUGGCGGACGGCACGCCUGUGCGCUCGAACCGCUGCCGGUCGACGGGGCGGGGAUCACACACCACGCGUUAAGGACGUUGACGAUCAUACGGCUCCAUCCGACCCGUCUUGAAACACGGACCAAGGAGUCUAACAUGUGCGCGAGUCUCUGGGUGAUCGAAACCCGUGGGCACAAUGAAAGUAAAGGCGGCUUCGGCUGCUGAGGUGAGAGGCCCACCCCCGCGGUGGAGUCGCAUCAUCGACCGACCUAUUCUACUCUUAGAAAGGUUUGAGUAAGAGCGCACCUGUUGGGACCCGAAAGAUGGUGAACUAUGCCUGAAUAGGGUGAASCCAGCGGAAACACUGGUGGAAGCUCGUAGCGAUUCUGACGUGCAAAUCGAUCGUCGAAUUUGGGUAUAGCGGCGAAAGACUAAUCGAACCAUCUAGUAGCUGGUUCCCUCCGAAGUUUCCCUUAGGAUAGCUGGAACUCGGGUGCAGU